AGGCUGUUGGUCUAGCGGUUAAGGCGCCUGCUCUGGCUACAGUACCACUUCCGCCGCCAUGGUCUUGAACUGUAGACAGAGUAUGGAGACUCAAGUUCGAAUCUUGGCCAGCCUA